CCAUAGCCUCAUCCUAGACUUGAGCACUGUCUCCUUUGUGGACACUGUGUGCAUCAAGAGCCUGAAAAACAUUUUCCGUGACUUCCGGGAGAUCGAAGUGGAAGUAUAUAUCGCAGCCUGUUACAGUCCUGUGGUCACCCAGCUUGAAGCUGGACACUUCUUUGAUGAGUCUAUCACUAAGCAGCACGUCUUUGCCUCUGUUCAUGACGCCGUGACCUUUGCCCUCCACCACCGGAAGUCUGGCCCUAAGAGCCCUGUUUUGGCCACCAAACUCUGACUUUGCUGCAGGAGACUGCCUACCUCUGGAGGUUGUGACAGGUCACCCUCAUGAACCCCCCUGCCUCUGAGCCACCUCCAGGUGCCACCUGGGACUCCAUUCCAUGUACCUGCACAUACAACUCAUGGGUGGAUGCCCUGGGACUCCAAGUUCAGUGCUAUAGGCCUGGGGCAGGGUAUUACAGUCAGGCUGGCCUUGGCUGGAAAAAGCUGAUGUGGGUUUACAGUUUUGGGAAUAAAUGUGUCAAUCCAA
rnacentral:lncRNA from 1 species